GAUGAACGCUGGCGGCGUGCCUAAUACAUGCAAGUCGAGCUAACAGACGAGGAGCUUGCUCCUCUGACGUUAGCGGCGGACGGGUGAGUAACACGUGGAUAACCUACCUAUAAGACUGGGAUAACUUCGGGAAACCGGAGCUAAUACCGGAUAAUAUAUUGAACCGCAUGGUUCAAUAGUGAAAGACGGUUUUGCUGUCACUUAUAGAUGGAUCCGCGCUGCAUUAGCUAGUUGGUAAGGUAACGGCUUACCAAGGCAACGAUGCGUAGCCGACCUGAGAGGGUGAUCGGCCACACUGGAACUGAGACACGGUCCAGACUCCUACGGGAGGCAGCAGUAGGGAAUCUUCCGCAAUGGGCGAAAGCCUGACGGAGCAACGCCGCGUGAGUGAUGAAGGUCUUCGGAUCGUAAAACUCUGUUAUUAGGGAAGAACAAAUGUGUAAGUAACUAUGCACAUCUUGACGGUACCUAAUCAGAAAGCCACGGCUAACUACGUG
rnacentral:rRNA from 1 species